GAGAAAAGAAAUGUGGGUGGAGAAUGAUACAUCCUAUUUGAGCUCCUUACAGCUUAUAUUACCCUAGAGAAGGGAAUGAACAGGAGCACUCCUGCUAAAGAGUGAGGAAGAUACACACUGCAACAUUUUGUUGCAACUUGUUUCUCCUAUCACAGUAACACCUUUAAACAGGGCAGUGUUUAUCUUUUCCAAGAAAAAUUUCCAGCUACAACUCUCCUGCAAUACAGCUGGUCCAUAACUGUAAGUACAAAUGGUGGCUCAUCUGAGUAUAGCUCCCUGGGAACUGAAAGCAACAGUGCUAUAGGCAGGAACCAAAAUGGUUAACUUGGGACUUUCCUUAAAAUGCUGUACUUCCAGCUGAGUUGACUCAAACAGUCAUUCCUUUACCUGCCAAUAUGCAGCAUUUGAAAAACCACGGUUUUUAAAAUAGCUUUUGUUUCAAAGCUUUCAUGGCUUGAAACGCCUUCUUAGCUGUUUGAUAAAAUAAAAUGCAUUUUCUUAGCAUCGAGGUGAUGUUGCAGGGAAUGCCUGCUUCAGACAUGAACAAAGACUAAAGACCACAUGUCCUGCCUGCCAGACCAGCAGGAAACAGAUAAAAGUCAAAACAACCUUGUAAGGGGGAGUAAGACAGUUUGAGGUAUCAGGCGUGAUCUGCCCAGCUCUCUGCCUUCAGCAAGCCUUGGGGUCUCAAAUUUCAGUGGCAACCUGUGUGACACCCAAAUUUGGUGCCCUCCUGCCUCUCAACUUCCAUUCUACAUCAUAGUUGUGGUGCCCCUGAGGCUCAGCACUAGGCCUGGGCGAUACAUCAAUAUAUGAGAAGCAUAUGUAUGAUGUAUGAUGAUAUGUAUUGAUGUAUGAGAAGCAGACCGCGAUGUCGGUUUCACUCAGCUGUAUAUCGCUGGUGAAACCGCCGCUGCCGCUCCUGAGUCUCUCUGCUAGCAGCAUCCACUGUAGGGAGUCAAGAAUUUCUUCCUCUCCAGCGGGCACUGCAAGCAGAGGAACUCAGGAGCGGCAGCGGUAUAUCGCUGGUGAAACCACCAUCCCACUCUGCCCUCAUACAAUGGAGAGGGAGAAACAAGGCUCCAAAACAGCUUCUUCUUCCCUCUGCAUCUUUAAACUGCUCAACGGAGGAGUGUGUAGCUGCCCCUGCCUCAGUCAAGCAGUUAAAGGAGCCCCCAGUCCAGUGCUGGCUUCUGCAAGUCUGCAAUGGGGUGGGAGCUCUGUGAAACUGCUGAGGGGGGCGUGGUUGCCGCUCCCUGCAGUGGGCAGUUAAAGGAGCCCUGAUGCUUUGCCCGCUCGUAGCAAGAGCACCAGGGCUGUCUCACCUGGGGAGGGGGACAUUCCCUCCCUGCAGCUGAACAGCACAAACAAGCUGUGUUGUCCCAGCUUGCAAGCCUGGGUGAAACCGACUCUGCUCUCGAGGUGAGAGCUGGGGCAGUUUCACCGCUGUCUCGUGGGCAGAGGCCAAUGCGUCUUGUUUUUUCAUCAUUGCGGUGUAUCGCCAACCACGAUGUUUGGUUGGCAAAUACAAUGCAGUGUUGAAAAGCUGAUAUCUCCCAGGCCUACCCAGCACCCAGUGCGACCAAACUGCUCGUGCUUCCCUAAAUCUGCCUCUGCUGCCUGGCCUUGAGGAAGGGUGUGUAAUACAAUUUGGGUAUUGAUGAGGAAUUUCUCUCUGCCUGUCAGGUCGAAGAGGAGCACCAACAGCUCCCCUGACCAGAAAAGGCGGGAGCCAGAAGAAGACAGUGCUGGACACUGAUGGAAUAUUGCAUGCUUGCCUGACCCAGAAAAGGGCAAGCCAGAAGCAGAGGUUCGGGGCUUCCUGUUUCUGGUGGUGAGAAAUGGCUGACUCCCACAUGAUCGGACCUCAACUGUGCCGGUAAUUCAGGGUUGAUAUGGGGGUAAUUAGCCGUGGCAGACUCCCCAGGGUGGGGGACGACUGUCUCGUAGACCCGCAGAUCGUCCGAGAUUCUCAGCUGGCAUCAAGGUGCAAGCGGCAGGACCCUGGGUGCCAGAGCAUGACAUGGCCGGCACUCUCCGAUGUCAUUCUCAUAGCCGGAAAUAUCUCUUUGAUAAAAUGAUUGGAUUUGGACAAUAACCAGACAUAGUCAAGACUGAAGAAGACUAAGGAAAAACCUGCUGAACUGUACAGUCCCUGGUGUUUAAGUUUAAGCUCAGACCUCAAAGAGAUUACCAUCAUGGCGUGUGGAUUACAGAGGUGUUUGGUGUGUCUUUUGUUUCUUCUUAACGACUACAAUUGGUUUUCUAUGCCAAGCCUCAUUAAGAAACCUUUUAAAAAAACCGGAG